GGAGCCCGCCGAACCCAGCAGGCCCCCGACCGAUAGUCGGGUCUCGCCACCCCGACGGAUCCGAAAAUCACCCCGGCAACAGACUCCGAGGCCGGCACGCCCCAGGUACGACUCCUACACUCCUCUCUCCGCUCCACGUGCGCAGAUCCUGAUGGAGAUCGAGGGGGAGGAAUACCUGCGACGGCCUCCGCCUCUGAAGGCAAAAGGCCUCGACCGUCGAAAGUACUGUCGGUUCCAUCGAAGCCACGGCC
rnacentral:lncRNA from 1 species